rnacentral:rRNA from 1 species
GACAGAGGGGGCAAGCGUUGCUCGGAAUCACUGGGCGUAAAGGGCGCGUAGGCGGGAUGGCAAGUCAGUCGUGAAAUCUCUCGGCUCAACCGAGAAACGUCGGCUGAUACUGCCGUUCUUGAGGGAUGCAGAGGAGACUGGAAUUCCCGGUGUAGCGGUGGAAUGCGCAGAUAUCAGGAGGAACACCUAUAGCGAAGGCAGCUCGCUGGUACGACACUGACGCUAAGGCGCGAAAGCGUGGGGAGCGAACAGG